AGUUUGAUGGUGUAGCUGGUGACACAUCCUGCAUUGCUGAUGUUGUGCAAUCGCUUUCAGCAGGAGAUCUGGAGUUCAAUUCUCCAUCAAGCCA